AAAAAAAAAAAAGAUUUGACACCAUGCCCUCAGUGGAUAAAGAUUUUUACUUCAAUGCCGUAAUUCAUUACAAAAUCUUCUACUGCCCAGCUUUGUAGAGAAGAUGCUUCACACACCACUGCAUUUACAAACGGUACAUGUGCAUAUCAAAGAGCGUUAGCUUCAAGGCAAAUAUUUCAUUCACUAUAGCUUUGUAAAAUAAGGCAGAAAACAUUUUUAUCCAUGUGGUCCAGUCAAAGACGAGAUCGGACGCUUCGUGGCCGGUCCAGUGAGUCCAUGUUCAGUCAACCAAAUCAAGCAUGUUAAACGUGUUUGUCAGAAAAAAAAAGAUAUCAGAAAUAUCAUUAUCGAUUCAGUAGAGAAAAGAAAAGAUACACAGAGGUCAUGCAAAUCAAUAGCGGUCGGGAUGGACUUCUUCAGCAUGCUCUUCAGCCCCGUAAUCAUCAUGGACAUGUCCGAGACCAGCGCAUAUUUAAACCAGUCCCAUUAAACCAGAGCUUUAACAUGGCAAAACAUCAAAUGAUAACAGAACUGCAUCACAAAAUGAUUCAUCAUUAUACCGGUUCUCCAUUCUUAUUGGUCAGGAGGUGUUUAUUACGUGUCUGUAAUCACCGGUUUACAUGAAUUCUACCACAGUAUCAUUAGAACUUAAACAACGAUAGUCUGAGGUUCAUAAUGAACCGAUUCGAAUGAAACCGUUUGCAUCGUCGAUAUGUUGAAGGAUUCUGUAAGGAGAUGUUUAUUUGACAUUACUGGAAGGAGUCUCCAGUGUCAGUACUUAACCGGAGUUACUGUUUUCUUCUAGUCGUAGACACUCCGGGGUUUUGAGAGAAAAACACGAGACGCCAGUGAUGGAACGAGCUGUUAUAAUGUAAACGAGAACAGGAAGUGACUUAAAAGGUACCCCGUGUCGUUCUUGAACAAAUCGAAAAGCGUUGCCGAAGGAUUGUGGUAUAAGAGGAAUAAAACUCUUUGGGGAUGGCGUGUGGAUGUUUGUAGAAAAUGCGUAACGUGAACGCGUACGAGUAGUGGUUAUACGGAAGGUUCGAUAAUAACCGUUAUUCGAUGCAUUUCCGUUAUCAUUAAGCACUCUUGUUACAUUUAGCAUGCCGUACCUCAAGCAGAAAAAUACACUGUAAUGUCUGUUGUUAAACCAGCAUUGAAGAGAGGACGUUUAAGUGGAGAUUACAUGUACAUUCAUGCUGGGGGGGGGGGGGGGGGGUGUCAUUCUUGCUCAUGAGCUAAAGAUGAAUCAAAGCUCCAAGAAUUAAAGGGAUUCGAACGACUACACUGUCUUCUUGCUGAAAAGGUCCAUUUUGUUGCCCUGUUUCUUAAUUACAGUCAUUUUUAUUUAUUUAUUUAUUUAUUUAUUUAUUUAUAGUAUCUCACAAAAGUGAGUACACCCCUCACAUGUUUGUAAAUAUCUGAUGAUAUCUUUUCAUGUGACGACACUGAAGAAACGACACUUUGCUACAAUGUAAAGUAGUGAGUGUACAGCUUGUGUAACAGUGUACAUUUGCUGUCCCCUCAAAAUAACUCACCACACAGACAUUAAUGUCUAAACCGCUGGCAACAAAAUGUUACAAGGUCUCAGGUGUGAAUGGGGAGCAGGUGUGUUAAAUUUGGUGUCAUCGCUCUCACACUCCCUCAUACUGGUCACUGGAAGUUCAUGGCACCUCAUGGCAAAGAACUCUCUGAGGGUCUGAAAAAAGAAUUGUUGCUCUACAUAAAGACGGCCUAGGCUAUAAGAAGAUUGCCGAGACCCUGACACUGAGCUGCAGCACGGUGGCCAAGACCAUACAGCGGUUUAACAGGACAGGUUCCACUCAGAACAGGCCUCGCCAUGGUCGACCAAAGAAGUUGAGUGCACGUGCUCAGCGU
ensembl:lncRNA